UACGGGGGGAGCAAGCGUUGUUCGGAUUUACUGGGCGUAAAGGGCGCGUAGGCGGUAGCACAAGUCAGUUGUGAAAUCUCCGGGCUUAACUCGGAAAGGUCAACUGAUACUGUGCGACUAGAGUGCAGAAGGGGCAACUGGAAUUCUCGGUGUAGCGGUGAAAUGCGUGGAUAUCGAGAGGAACACCUGCGGCGAAGGCGGGUUGCUGGGCUGACACUGACGCUGAGGCGCGAAAGCCAGGGGAGCGAACGGG
rnacentral:rRNA from 1 species